UGGGGAAUAUUGCACAAUGGGCGCAAGCCUGAUGCAGCCAUGCCGCGUGUGUGAAGAAGGCCUUCGGGUUGUAAAGCACUGUCAGCGGGGAGGAAGGCGUUAAGGUUAAUAACCUUGGCGAUUGACGUUACCCGCAGAAGAAGCACCGGCUAACUCCGUGCCAGCAGCAGCGGUAAUACGGAGGGUGCAAGCGUUAAUCGGAAUUACUGGGCGUAAAGCGCACGCAGGCGGUCUGUCAAGUCGGAUGUGAAAUCCCCGGGCUCAACCUGGGAACUGCAUUCGAAACUGGCAGGCUAGAGUCUUGUAGAGGGGGGUAGAAUUCCAGGUGUAGCGGUGAAAUGCGUAGAGAUCUGUAGGAAUACCGGUCGCGAAGGCGGCCCCCUGGACAAAGACUGACGCUCAGGUGCGAAAGCGUGGGGAGCAAACAGG
rnacentral:rRNA from 1 species